AUUGAACGCUAGCGGGAUGCCUUACACAUGCAAGUCGAACGGCAGCGCGGACUUCGGUCUGGCGGCGAGUGGCGAACGGGUGAGUAAUGUAUCGGAACGUGCCCAGUAGCGGGGGAUAACUACUCGAAAGAGUAGCUAAUACCGCAUACGCCCUACGGGGGAAAGGGAGGGAUCGCAAGACCUCUCACUAUUGGAGCGGCCGAUAUCGGAUUAGCUAGUUGGUGAGGUAAAGGCUCAACAAGGCGACGAUCCGGAGCUGGCUUGAGAGGACGACCAGCCACACUGGGACUGAGGCGCGGCCCAGACUCCUACGGGAGGCAGCAGUGGGGAAUUUUGGACAAUGGGGGAAACCCUGAUCCAGCCAUUCCGCGUGUGCGAUGAAGGCCUUCGGGUUGUAAAGCACUUUUGGCAGGAAAGAAAUCGCAUCAAUUAAUACUUGGUGUGGAUGACGGUACCUGCAGAAUAAGCACCGGCUAACUACGUGCCAGCAGCCGCAGUAA
rnacentral:rRNA from 1 species